CCGCCCGUAGCUCAGUUUGGUAGAGCAGCUGGCUCUUAACCAGUUUGUCGUAGGUUCGAGUCCUACCGGGCGGACUA
rnacentral:tRNA from 1 species